GCCGCCGCCGAGCCCAGCACCCGCUCCGAUUUCCCAAUCCCGGCGCCCGGUCGCCGGCUCGCCGCUCCCUCCCCCAGAAGCGUCCCCAAUCCUGGCAUCCCACCUUCCUCAUCCCGGCGCGUCUCGGCCUUCCGUCGGCGACCCUCGGGCCAUCGCGGUGUAGCGCUGCGCGUCCCAUCCCGCCCCGGCGAUUCAUUCCGCUCGUUGCGCCGUCACCCAUUCCGAGUUCCCACGCCGCCGCCCGUUCCGAGCUCCUCCGCCGUCGUCUCGGUCGACCGCGGGCCGAAGUCCUGCGACCUGAUCCGCCUAACACGCGGGAACUCAUACAUCAGUUCGCCAUCGUUUGUGACUCCGUUCCGAGCUCCGCGAGGACGCUCCGCUCCCGUCGCCGUCGCCCCCAGGUGACUGCCGGGCAACAUCGAUGGUUGAAAAGAUUCUCCAGCUAGCUGCCCAUAUCACCUACAAAAAUCACAUACCCCGUGCACCAAAUUGCUCAGUCCCUCCAAUUUCCCUAUCCAUCCUUCAAUCCCCACGGCCACAGAUCCAUUCCGUCGCAAUCGCUGCACACCGCGUCCACAUUUCAAGAAGCGUAGUGCACAGGAGAUGGAGAAUCAAAUUGGUUUGCUUCUUUUAUUUUCCACGUCUUCUUGGCUGUGAAUCUGGAAGCCCAAAUUUUGGACGAUGCAGGUUGUAGCAGCAGUUGCAUAUGUGCCGCUCGCCGCCGGCGGAUGGGGCCACGUGCAGAGGCGAUGGGAUGGGAAGCGACGUCACCGUGUGCUUCACCGUCUAGGGAGCCUGUACUUGCUGCUGAGUGCAUGAUCCCCUCAAUUCGACCAUCCCUGUCCCAGCGGCCCAGCCGAAUUUGUGCUCCCUGCUCUUGUCCCCUGUUCUUCUUCACUGGAUACAGGAUUAUAUUGGUUCUCAGCAGGGUGGUGUUCAAGAGCAUGCUGGAAAGCUGGAGACGUAUGAGCUUCCCAUCUGAUCAGUGCAUGCAGGGAGGGUUCUGAGCUUAGACAUGAGUGUUGUAUAACAGAUUAUGAAUUUUUAUUGAGUGAACAGCACCAUGGUAUCCUGGUACUGAUUCUUGCGUGGACGGGCAACCAUAUACUCUUUUAGCAUAUGGCCAUGUUACUAGCAAACUGUUGUUUUAGCUACUACUUAAUUUUUCUUUAGGGAAACUAUUCAACUGGAACGGAUUGGGAUUUACCAA